AAGGUGACAGGAUCAGACUGAAGUGCACAAGGGCUGAGAAGAAUUGAAACCAAUUGGGGAGGAGGAGAUGCUAGCCUUCUGGCUCCUGUCUCUUGUUUUUCAUCUUCUAGUUUCCCAGCUUGCUUUCGCUAAGACAGGACAAUAUGACAAUGGAACCAUCUGGGACUCAGGAGGGUGUGCCUUUGAUCUAAAACUUAAUGCCUCCAAGUGCCAGUGGCAGAAGGCACCCUACAGUCAUACAGAAACCAACAAGAAGGAUGAGAAUGCUAGUGAAAACAGAAGAAUGAUAAUUGAACACAAAAAACAGAAUACUACAUUUAAAAGUACUGACACC